GGAGGGUGCAAGCAUUAAUCGGAAUUACUGGGCGUAAAGCGCGCGUAGGUGGUUUGUUAAGUGGAAUGUGAAAGCCCUGGGCUCAACCUAGGAAUUGCAUCCCAAACUGGCAGACUAGAGUACAAGAGAGGGGUGUGGAAUUUCCUGUGUAGCGGUGAAAUGCGUAGAUAUAGGAAGGAACAUCAGUGGCGAAGGCGACGCCUGGCUUGAUACUGACAUUGAGGUGCGAACGGUGGGAGCAACAGGAUUAGAUACCCUGGUAGUCACGCCGUAACGAUGUCUACUAGCUGGGACUUAU
rnacentral:rRNA from 1 species